rnacentral:lncRNA from 1 species
UUAAAAAAAGGAAGUAACCAAACUGGAAAGAAGAGAUUUAAGGUAGGUGUGCGCAUGAAGAAAGAUGAGAUUUGGGGUGGACGUGCGUGUGGGGAUGAUUCUUCUUUAUGGAUAUCUUUUAUUCAUUAAUAGAAUAUAGAAGAGAUUUGAAUAAAGAAGAGAUUUGGGAUAUGCAUGCGUGAAUAAAGAAGCGAUUUGAAUUUCCUUAAUAGAAUGCAAUCAUGUGGGUCACCCACGGAAUCUGGAACCCUGGACAGGUUGUAACCAAAUUGGUGGGGGUCGUGAGAGUGUCUUCGAGAUUUUUAAAUAACGAAAUCGUUAUUAGGGACCAGAAUUAUAAGACCCAUUUCCUGUGGACUGAAAAUAGAAGUUUCGAUCAACAAGUAUUAUUUGUUAUACCGCAGUCAUCAUGAGGAUCGGGAAUUAAUUACCCGUAAUUAAUUAUACUCAUUUUACAAGUCCUAUGUUAUUGAUGCUUUAAAUUGGAUAAAUGCAAAUGAUAGGCAAAAGGAUUAUUGCUAGCGGAGGAAAAUCAUUAUUUUGAUGGUUUAAUGCAAAACGUGAAUGAAAAUAAAAUGGAACAGCACAAAGUUUCAUGUUACGUGCUUCUUAUACACUAAACAUUAGUUCUAUACAUAUACUUAUUGCCCAACACUUUUUACAUUUAAAUAUACUCAAGCUCAGAUUAUGAGUGAUGUAUUUUUCCUGAAAAGAAGAAAAAAAGUUGGCAACUUUUGUUUACUAUAGAAAUAUAUAGGUUGAUGUGGUAGUCCUUUAUUCUACAAAUCAGUAGUAACUUAGCUUAGUGACAUUCUUUUGUAUUUGGAAUGUUCGAAAGGAUGCAAAAUAUGGUUUUCCAAAACCCAUGGUAGAUACUUUCUAAAAUGACUAAUCUUUACUUAAUUAGCAAAUUGUGUUUGAGUAGGCAUUAUGUAAAUUUUAGGUUGGGAUGGAUUAGGCUUACACCACUAGCCUCGGGUGGAGCUAAAGUUGUUCACCUCGGUUCCCGUCCGAGGUCAGAAGAGAUCGAGUCAGGUUGGGCUGAAUUAGGCUUAUACAACUAGCCCAAGCUCAUCAAAUGAGCCUGCGAAUUUGUAACUCAAACAAGGCCUAGUAUGUAAACGUAAUGGCCCAUGAAGAGGGGCAAGAGGCUUAAGCCCAAUCCCAUAUAUAGACUUGGCGACCGGAGCAGCUUAGGUCAGGUCAACAAGUCUAAAACAAUAGUUAUUAUUUUAUAGGGACUCAUAUGAAAAGUUAGAAGAAUUAAUAUAUUAGUAUGCAACCUAAGAAGAACUGAAGGACUAAUAUGCAAAAAUAAUUACAUGAUUUACAGCUAUGAUGGUUCAGAUAUAGAGAUAUGUUAUGAUAAUUAAGAACCAUUUCAUAACUAACACAUGAAAAACAUAAAAAAGAAAUUAUAAUGAAUAUGUAAGCUGAUGGCAAUGAGUAAAAUGAUGCAAAGGGAGAAAAUGACAUGAUAAAGAUACUGUAAUAUUAUAAUUAAAAUUAAAAUACCACUUUAGGAAAAGACAAAUUAAUGUAAAUAAAAAUGCACUUAGUACUGAGAAUUGAGAAAAAAAAUAAAAAUGGUUGGAAAAUAUCAAAUAGUUAAACUGUAGGAUUAUGUAUAAGAUUGUCUUACAUUCGAUCAUUGCAUAAUACAAUACAUUUA